GGAAAAUUACCAGCAGGUGGAGGGCCAUGGCUUUAUUUACCACUUUAAUGGUCUCCACUCUCCAAAUCACCAAUACAUGGUAUCUCCUAUUUUUAUCCCCAAUACAUGGUAAGCAUAACUUGAGAAGACUCAUUUGCCCUUCCUUCCCACCCUAAAAGAUCUCUCGCCUGAUAAGAGGAAAAAAGAACCCACACCAGAAAAAACAUGGCGUUAAUUCCUUAAUUCCUUGCCCUCCAUCAAAUAUUUCUCAUCUCCAGAACACUCACUCUCUCUCUCUCUCUCUCUCUCUCUCUCUUGAAGGUUACCUGAAAUUGAAGAGUUCGGAGUUGAUGGCUACCUAAGUCGUAGAGUUUUUCGAAAUCGAAUCGUGGAGUUCAUUGUCUGUCCACAAAUCGAAUCACGAUAUACCUGAAUCUCAUGUUUUAAGGUCAAAGAACGCUUCAAGUUUCUAUGGGUUGGUUUGGGAUUUAUAGGAGGUGGAUCCAAAUGUGGAGCAUGAAGAGGCACCUGGUUCAAAUGGAAUGGAUGGUUUUGUGUCUGAUCUGCCAUUGAUGAGAUUCUGAGCUUUGUUGAAAUGCUUAAGCUUUGCUUCUUGCUCUUCAUAAGCUAAAGGUAUUGGAAGAGCAACAGAAGUAUGCUAUUGAUUCAUCUGAACCUCUUAUGGCUUUUGCUCUCAGCUAUGGACUGUAUUCAUUACCUGCGAAGUCUGGCUAGCCAAAGCUGGGAAUGCUUGGCGCGAAGCAAAUACUUCUGCCGAUUUUCUUGCUCGAGAGGCCAUAUAUGGGCAAAGGCCUUUGGUGGUGGUCCUUCGUCAACCCCCUCUUCAAUUUGGAGAACAUUGCCUAUGACGGAUGUUCAAGGACUUGGCUACCAAGGUCAUCUCUAUACGGAUCCACAUGCAUUGAACAACUCUAAACUCAAUGUUUUACAAUUGUGCUCUUAGGUGGUUUUACACACAUUGGGUUCAAAGUUCUCUUAAUCUUGUUGUGGGUUUAAUAUUGUGGUUUUGAGAUGUUGGGUACAAAGUUUGUGCAAAGAGACUUUUUAGGAUUGAUUUGUGGGUUUAAGAUAUUGAGUACAAAGUUCACUAUAGUACCAUAUUUUUUUUUAUAUACAAAAGGUGUACUACAUUAUUGUAAGUAAUCCAAUUGAACUACUGUUGUCUAACUUUGGAUUUUGUUAAAUGUAAGGGACUUAUACUUAUUAGGUUUU